ensembl:lncRNA MIR4500HG MIR4500 host gene
ACAUUCGUAGGAAGAGAGAGAAGUCUUGGACCAUGUGUGUAAUUCGAGCGUGGGACUGUGCAAUUCUCGGAUUGGGAAAGGGAGGAGUGGAAAUAACCCCGGCAGUGCCAGGCUUGCUGGUGGUCAGGAACAGAUGAUUCCAGCCCUGUGCUGAUCGCCUGCCUUCCUCCUGCCAUUCAGAAUGCUGCUGUCUCGUGUACUUACUGUUAAGGAUCCUGGAAAAGGGAGUGGUUCCUCCUAGCUGCAAACAAGGGCGCUACUUUUCUUUUCUCUUUAAUAGAAUUACGUUUUAUAGGUGUGUCUAGGCAACACAAGGGAAUGUGAAAGACUUUCAGAGGGAAUGUUUGUGAAUACAUCUGGUGUGUACUAAAAAGCUGGAAAACCCCUAAGUAAAUGCAAUAUCGAUAGAAAGCGAGUUUCUUGAAGAGUCAUCUGCUAAACUCCACUAGAGUCAUCUCUACAGGUGUGGUUAAGAGAAAAAAAAAUUGCCAUUAAGGAAUCAGCAAAUAGGAUGUCUGAAGUGAGGAUAUAGCACCUAUCUCUGAGAUUAAAGUCAUCUGAUCAAAAAUGAUGCCUCUGAGACUAUAACAAAGGAAUGAAUAAUGAAAUAUAAGAAUGGGGAUUCUGCACUAACUCUAUGGGGAAGAAAACAAUGGUAUCAGAGAUCUGCAGUGGCAAUGAGAGCUGAAGGAGCUGAAAUUCCAGAGAUGAAAGAACUUCAGAGAGGAGAGCUGACAUCUAUCUGCAUUCACUUUUCUUCUGGAGGAUGUGUUAACUUUGAGCAAGAAUACAUGUUUCAGAACUGGGCUUUUGUAUUACAGAACUAGCGGCAAUGAAGAGCAAGUUUUGGUGGGAACUUGAGAACCAGCAUGCCGGCUAUACGCCAUUCUGAAAUUUUACAGAUAACAAUAUCAACUGAAUAUAAAAUAUUAAUGCCAUGGAUGAUCUCAGAAAUGAUUUCCUACAAAGUCCCAACCUAUCCUGGAACAUUUCUUAUGUGUGCUUGGCCUUCUAUAGGAAGAAGAUGCCAUCUAGGACCUUCAUAGCUAGAGAAGAGAAGUCAAUGCCUGGCUUCAAAGCUCUAAAGGACAGACUGAUUCUCUUAUUAGGGGCUAAUGCAGCGGGUGACUUUAAGUGGAAGCAAAUGCCAUUUACCAUUCUGAAAAUCCUCAGGCCUUUGAGAAUUAUGUUAAAUCUAUUCUGCCUAUGCACUAUAAAUGGAACAAGAAAGCCUGAAUGACAGGACAUCUGUUUAUACCAUGGUUUACUGAAUAUUUUAGGCCUAUUGUUGAAACCUACAGUUCAAAAAAUAUGUCUUUUCAUUUUCACAAUAUUACUUGUCAUUGACAAUAAUAUUGACAAUAUUACUUACAUUGUCAUGCACUUGGUUACCCAAGAGCUCUGAUGGAGAUGUACAAGGAGAUUUGUGUUGUUUUCAUGCCUGCAAACGUAACAUUCUGCCACCCAUGGAUCAAGGAUUAGUUGUGACUUUCAAGUCUCCCUAUUUAAGAAAUACAUUUUGUAAGGCUAUAGCUUCUAUAGAUAGUGAUUCUUCUGAUGGAUCUGGGCAAAGUGAACUGAAAGCUGUGUGGAAAGAACUCACCAUUCCAGAUGUGAUUAAGAACAUUCGUGAUUCAUGGGAGGAGGUCAAAGUAAAAUUAACAGAAAUUUGCAAGAAGUGUACUUCAGCACUCUUGGAUGACUUUGAGGAAUUCAGUCCUUCAGUGGAGGAAAUGACUGCAGAUGUGGUGGCAAUAGUGAGAACUAGAAUUAGAAGUGGAGACUGAAAAUGCUACUGUAUUGCUGCAAUCUCAUGAUAAAAUUAGAAUGGAUGAGAAGUUGCCUUUUAUGGACGAAAAAAGAAAGUGAUUUAUUAAGAUGAAAUUGUAACUCCUGGUGACAAUGCCGUGAACAUUGUUGGAACGACAAAUAACUUAGAAUAUUACAUAAUCUUAGUUGAUAAAACAGCAGCAGAGUUUGAGAGGAUUAAUUCCAAUUUUGAAUGAAGUUGUACUGUGGGUAAAAUGCUAUCAAACAACAUGGCAUGCCACAGGGAAAUCUUUAGUGAAAGAAAGAGCCAAUCAAUGAGGCAAACUUCAUGGUUGUAUCAUUAGAAAAAUUUCCCACAGCUUCUCCAACCUUCAGCAACCACCAUGCUGAUCAAUCAGCAGCCAUCAACACUGAGUCAAGCCCUUCCACCAGCAAAAAGAUUACGACUCUCUGAAGGCUCAGAUGAUUGUU